rnacentral:rRNA from 2 species
UACGUAGGGUGCGAGCGUUGUCCGGAAUUACUGGGCGUAAAGAGCUCGUAGGUGGUUUGUCGCGUCGUUUGUGUAAGUCCACGGCUUAACUGUGGGAUGGCAGGCGAUACGGGCAUAACUUGAGUGCUGUAGGGGAGACUGGAAUUCCUGGUGUAGCGGUGAAAUGCGCAGAUAUCAGGAGGAACACCGAUGGCGAAGGCAGGUCUCUGGGCAGUAACUGACGCUGAGGAGCGAAAGCAUGGGUAGCGAACAGG